GACGAACGCUGCGGCGUGCCUAAUACAUGCAAGUAGGACGCAGUUGCGAACGGGUGAGUAACGCGGAGGUAACUGCCUAGUAGAGGGGGAAAACUAUUGGAAACGAUAGCUAAUACCGCAUACUAGUAGAUGGACCUGCGUUGUAUUAGCUAGUAGGUAGGGUAAUGGCCUACCUAGGCAACGAUACAUAGCCGACAUGAGAGGUUGAUCGGCCCCACUGGGACUGAGACCCGGCCCAGACUCCUACGGGAGGCAGCAGUAGGGAAUCUUCGGCAAUGGGGGGUGCCCUGACCGCGCAACGCCGCGUGAGUGAGGAAGGUUUUCGGAUCGUAGAGCUCUGUUGUUAAGGAAGCGGUACUUACCCAGAAAGGGACGGCUAACUACGUGCCAGCAGCCGCGGUAAUAC
rnacentral:rRNA from 1 species